ACGACGCCUUCCAGAGGGUACUAGCCGCUGAAACACUCCCCCACUUUACAGACAUCUCUGGAAACCUCGAAACCGUUCCCUUGGAGAGAAAUUGUUCGGCUUCCGAGAAAAAGAAAAACAGACUAAAAGAAAAUCCCUACAAAAACCUCUGUUCACCUCAUAUCUUCGAUCAAUCCUUCAUCCUUUCCCUUUCUAUGGAACAAUCUCCUUCUCUGGAAGAUUGCUUGAAGCUCUUGAAAGGCGAAAGGGAUGAACAACGACUCGCAGGCCUGCUUCUUGUCACUAAAUUUUGCAAGGGCGACGACAAUGCUGCCCUUCGUAGGGUUUACAAUGCGGUCGGAAUUGGGUUUCUCGAUCGCCUGUUAAGGACCGGGAUGGGGAAAGGAACUAUUAGUAGCAGUGGAGGUGACAACAGAGAUGCAUAUUUGCAACUAUCAGUUACUGUUCUUGCUGCAUUCUGUCGUGUUCCGGAGAUUGCUUCAUCUGAAGAUAUGGUCUUAAAGAUUCCUUUGAUAUUGGAAAUUUUGUCCAAGCAAUCAGGCUCACAUGUUGUUGAAGAGUGCUACGAAUUUUUAUUUCUUGUGUCUACUUCUUGUGAAGAUGGAGUCUCAGCAUUGUACAAAUCUGGAGGCUUAAGGGUGCUAGCUUCCCAAAUGUCUACUUUGGCAGAUGGUUCACACUCACAGGCACUGGCUAUGAAACUUGUGCAGUUGAUGCUUAGUACAGUGUCCCUGGACAUCAUUAAUAAUGAAUAUUCAUCAGAACUGUCAAUGAUGGUGGCUGUAAUAGCAAGGGAAUUCGCUGUGUUGCAUGAUGCCCUGAAAUUUGAAGCACUCCACCUGCUUUCUGCUAUCCUCUCCUCAAAAUAUUCUGCACCAGUGCAUGACACUCUUCGCAUAAUGUCUAAUGACAUUUGGUCGACAUAUGUGCGAGUUGGUAUUGUGGCCAUUUUACAGAAUCGUGUUGCACCUGCUGAAAAGCUUCAGGCUUUGAUCCUGGCAGAGUCUGUGAUAUCUAUACUGGGGGAGAGGUGGCUGCUUGGUCAGAUGAACUUACCUGAUGCAAAAGACUCUGUUCCUGCUGACAGGUGUCUUUUACUUGUCUUAGAGUCAUCAAGGGUUGAAGUUGCUGUUUUGUUGAAUGAGCUUGCCUACCUGAAAUAUGAAACUUCUAAUAACUCUUCAUCCAAUGCUGAAAUAAUUUCUUUAAAGCAACGGAACCUGGCUAUUGCUUUUUCUUUGGUAGAGAAGACAAUUAAGCUUAUCUCAAAUGUAGUUGAAGAUGAAGUGAACCCGAUUGAUGAAAACACUUUGUCGAAGGUUAUCUCUGGGCUUAAUGAGACAGUUGGUGUAGUUUUAGAGUAUUUACAAGAUGCAAAGGAUCAUGGACAAAAGAAAGGAGAUGAUCUUCUUGCUUCAGUGCGGCUUAUUGGGAGCUAUCUUGCAGAAACACCCCUUGCUUGCAGAGAGAAGGUUAGAGAACUUCUGGAGUUUAUGCUCUCGAUUGAAGGUGAAGAUGAACCAAGACCUUUUUUCUCCAUAUGCUUUUUACUCCCAAUGCUAUGUCAAAUAACAAUGGAAAUUGAAGGAUGCAAAAUUUUGGUAUCUUGUGGAGGACAAAAAGCUGUUGUGGAAUGCCUCAUAAAAUUGAUUGGUCCAAAUGGUUGUAUGAUUGAGGAUAAGGGUUGCAUAUUCUUGGCGUGUGAUACAAUUCUGAAUCUUCUUCUCAAGAGAGAUCAAAUUAAAUUUCGAUUGGACGAAUCUACUUCUGUUCAUCUUCUGAAAGCAUUAGCAUAUUGGACAGAGGAAACUGAUGAACCAUCUAUAGUUAUGAUGGCCUCAAGCAUUUGUGCUCUGAUAUUUGAUCAUACAUCAGAGCAGGCUCUUCUAAAUCAUCCCAACAUUGAUCAUAGCACUAUUGCUAGUCUGUCUCAGCUCAUCGUGAGAAGUUUGGCUACGUGUGCGCAGAACAUGGGUGAUGAUAUGAAAUCAGACUUGGAUCUUCUUGACAUUGUUACUGCAGGAUAUUCUCGAUGGUCCCAUAGGUUCCCCCAUAUAAAAGCAGCCGUUGGGAGAUUGAGUUAAUCAUCCUUGAAAAUAACAUUUUGGUCUUCCCUUAACCACGCAGACUUGGUGCCUGGUAUGAGUUUGAAGUCCCUUCCCUUGAAUUAAGACGAGGAUUCAUCCAUGUGUUUCUAACCAUCUCUAGACAACUCUUUAGGAAUCACCACACUGUUCCUGCUGUUGCCUUGUCUUCUCCUCUCUGCAUGUUUGAAUGGGUGAAAAGAAAUUUAUGUAUACUAUUUCAUAUUCAGGAACAAUCUGCAAUUUGGAUGUCAGCAGUGAGAAAGCAGUGAAAUAGUUUAGGAAAAUUGGAUAAUGUUACUUGAUUUUGCACACUGACUGUGUGGUGGUGAAUUCUUUGCCUGUCAACUUAACAACGUGGAGAUGGAGUUAUAGCA